UUUUAUAUAUUUUUUAAAAUUGUAUUAGAAUGUGUUAUCCUUGCACACAGUUUUAGCAAAAAAUAGAAGUUUUUAUAGGCUUAAAUUAUUUCAUCUCGUUCCUAAAUUGUUUUUGGUUUUUUCUUAUGAAAAUGGCUUUACGUUGUCAACGACUUUUUUCUAACAGGAAGUUUAACUUUGUAAGUAUGUUGUCACCAUUUUGCUCUGCUGUUAUUGAUGUUGUCCACGAACCAAAAAAUAAUCGGUUUGUGAUACAUUUAGAUAAAGGUGAAUGUGUACUAGAUUAUUUAAUGACCAAAAAAACAAUUGAUUUGUAUCACACAGAAGUACCUGAAGUGUAUAGAGGAAAGGGAGUGGCGAAACAGCUAGUUAAGGAAGCUAUUAAAUACGCGAGAGAAAAUUCGUUAAAAGUUAUACCUACGUGUGAAUACGUUCAAAAGUAUCUUAAUGAAAAUCCUAUCGCCGAAUAAAUAACCUUAAAGAAAAUUCUUGUCGUCAAAUAAAAAACUUUCUUAACAAAAACUUUAUUUAUUAAUAUUUACAGUGUUAUUAUUUAAACUAUUGUAUGAAGUGAAGUGCUUGAAAAUUCUUAUACUUUUUGUAUAGUAAUCAUUCUAAAUAACGAACAUUUUUGCCAAAACUAA
rnacentral:lncRNA from 1 species